CAGGUUUUCUUAUUGGCCUAAAGCUUACCUUGUAAGCUAGGCUGGCUGUCCAGUGAGCCACAGCCACCCUCCUUGAGUCUGAUUACCUCGCUCGUCUCCUCCAUGGUAACCUGUGAUACUACCCCAACAGAGACACUGGGAUGUGCAUAUCCCUUGAGAUUCCUGGUAAACGUCCAGCCCAAACUUUAUUCCUCUGUUUGAGACUAUGCCAGGCAGACCAUAAAUGUCACAGCUCCUGGGGAUUCCAUUGGGUCUCCUUGGAACAAAUCUUUGUCCUCGUUCCCAGCUGAAAGGUGACCUCCGGCGUGAAACUGGAUGAGUAUCUGCUUGUUUAUCUGCAAAAGGGGAGUCAUGAGGUCCCUACACCAUCACACGCUGUGAGGAUGAAAUGGAGUUGGCACAAGGCACCUAACUGCAGGCUUACCUAUGCUGUUCUUACCAUCAUCGUAUCCAGUAGUAAGAUGACUCCCAAGUCACCCUCCCACUCAGGAGAGCUUGCCACCUGCCAAUCGCAGGCAUCGCCGCGUUUUUCAGCUUUUUUGCAAUCAAUCUCAGGGACAGCUCCAGUGGACUUUGGCAUACACGUGGAUCUUCUUCUAUUUCCCAACUUUAACUUACUGUCUCAUUUCAAGAACUCUCUCCCUUCAGUUCCCCCUCCAUAAAUGAAGGAAAGGAUAAAAGAUUGAACCUCAGAAAAACACAAUGCCAGAAGACACAAUGUUUGGACCUUUUAACUCUGUUUUUACAU